rnacentral:rRNA from 1 species
GAUGAACGCUGGCGGCGUGCCUAAUACAUGCAAGUCGAGCGAACGGACGCUAAGCUUGCUUCUCUGAUGUUAGCGGCGGACGUGUGAGUAACACGUGGAUCACCCACCUAUAUGACUGGGAUAACUUCGGGACACCGGCGCUAAUACCGGAUGAUCUUUUGAACCGCAUGGGUCAUAGGUGAAAGACGGUCUUGCUGUCUCUUAUAGCUGGAUCCGCGCUGCAUUAGAUAGUUGGUAAGGUAACGGCUUACCAAGGCAACGAUGCAUAGCCGACCGGAGAGGGUGGUAGGCCACACGGGAACUGAGACACGGUCCAGAGGACUACGAGAGGCAGCAGUAGGGAAUCUUCCGCAAUGGGGGAAAGCCUGACGGAGCAACGCCGCGUGAGUGAUGAAAGUCUUCGGAUCGGAAAACUCUGUUAUUAGGGAAGAACAUAUGUGGAAGUAACUGUGCACAGCUUGACGGUACCUAAUCAGAAAGCCACGGCUAACUACGUG